rnacentral:rRNA from 1 species
UACAGAGGGGGCAAGCGUUGUUCGGAAUUACUGGGCGUAAAGGGCGCGUAGGCGGCCUGUUAAGUCGAACGUGAAAUCCCCGGGCUCAACCCGGGAACUGCGUCCGAUACUGGCAGGCUUGAAUUCGGGAGAGGGAUGUGGAAUUCCAGGUGUAGCGGUGAAAUGCGUAGAUAUCUGGAGGAACACCGGUGGCGAAGGCGGCCGAUCCUAGGACCGAGAUUCGACG